AACGAACGCUGGCGGCCGGCUUAACACAUGCAAGUCGAGCGCCCCGCAAGGGCAGCGGCAGACGGGUGAGUAACGCGUGGGAAUCUACCCAUCUCUACGGAAUAACGCAUGGAAACGUGUGCUAAUACCGCAUACGUCCUUCGGGAGAAAGAUUUAUCGGAGAUGGAUGAGCCCGCGUUGGAUUCGCUAGUUGGUGGGGUAAAGGCCUACCAAGGCGACGAUCCAUAGCUUGUCUGAGAGAAGGAUCAGCCACACUGGGACUGAGAACACGGCGCAGACUCCUACGGGAGGCAGCAGUGGGGAAUAUUGGACAAUGGGCGCAAGCCUGAUCCAGCCAUGCCGCGUGAGUGAUGAAGGCCCUAGGGUUGUAAAGCUCUUUCACCGGUGAAGAUAAUGACGGUAACCGGAGAAGAAGCCCCGGCUAACUUCGUGCCAGCCGCCGCGGUAA
rnacentral:rRNA from 1 species